UACGGAGGGUGCGAGCGUUGUCCGGAAUCACUGGGCGUAAAGGGCGCGUAGGUGGUCUGCUAAGCGUGCGGUGAAAGCCUGGGGCUCAACCCCAGGUCUGCCGUGCGAACUGGUGGACUGGAGCACUGUAGAGGCAGGUGGAAUUCCGGGUGUAGCGGUGGAAUGCGUAGAGAUCCGGAAGAACACCGGUGGCGAAGGCGGCCUGCUGGGCAGUUGCUGACACUGAGGCGCGACAGCGUGGGGAGCAAACAGGAUUAGAUACCCUGGUAGUCCACGCCGUAAACGAUGGGGACUAGGUGCUUGGGGGAGCGACCCCUCGAGUGCCGGCGCUAACGCAUUAAGUCCCCCGCCUGGGGAGUACGACCGCAAGGUUGAA
rnacentral:rRNA from 1 species